rnacentral:rRNA from 1 species
GCAAGUCGAACGAACGGAGGAAGAGCUUGCUCUUCCAAAGUUAGUGGCGGACGGGUGAGUAACACGUGGGCAACCUGCCUGUAAGUUGGGGAUAACUCCGGGAAACCGGGGCUAAUACCGAAUGAUAGAAUGUGGCGCAUGCCACGCUUUUGAAAGAUGGUUUCGGCUAUCGCUUACAGAUGGGCCCGCGGUGCAUUAGCUAGUUGGUAGGGUAAUGGCCUACCAAGGCAACGAUGCAUAGCCGACCUGAGAGGG